rnacentral:tRNA from 1 species
ACCUGGGUGGCUCAGUCGGUUGAGCGUCCGACUUCAGCUCAGGUCAUGAUCUCGCGGUUUGUGGGUUCGAGCCCCACGUCAGGCU